rnacentral:rRNA from 1 species
GAUGAACGCUGGCGGCGUGCCUAAUACAUGCAAGUCGAACGAAGAUCUAGCUUGCUAGAUCUUAGUGGCGAACGGGUGAGUAAUACAUAAAUAAUCUGCCCAUAUGACUGGGAUAACUAUUGGAAACGAUAGCUAAUACCGGAUAGGUUGAUCGGAGGCAUCUCUGAUGAAUUAAAGUAGGUUUUCUACACAAAUGGAUGAGUUUAUGGCGCAUUAGUUAGUUGGUGGGGUAACGGCCUACCAAGACGAUGAUGCGUAGCCGACCUGAGAGGGUGACCGGCCACACGGGGACUGAGACACGGCCCAGACUCCUACGGGAGGCAGCAGUAGGGAAUUUUCGGCAAUGGGCGCAAGCCUGACCGAGCAACGCCGCGUGAGUGAUUAAGGCCUUCGGGUUGUAAAGCUCUGUUGUAAGGGAAGAACAUUCAGGAUAGGAAAUGAUCUUGAACUGACGGUACCUUACCAGAAAGCCACGGCUAACUACGUGCCAGCCGCCGCCGUAA